CUAUAUACACAAAAAGAUAACGCCUGAUAUAGAAAAAGAAGAACGGAUCAGCCGCAACAGUGCAAAAAUCCCACCCCCCAUCGUUUGGAUCUCCCUCUUCAGAGAAAGAAGCAAAAUUCCAUGUCCUCUUCUUAAUAAAAAAUAACAGACCCAAGCUAUACAUCUGAUCAGCCGCAGAAUCACAAAAUACACGACCACCCCCUUUUGAUUUUCUUGGAGAGAGCACAAAACAAAAGAGACCUUCAGUCUUUUGAACUUUGGUCUCCAGCCAUCUUCCACCCCAAGAUCACGGCAAGCAUGGACGAAAAUCUGGGCGGAAGAUUCAGGCCAAUUUUUGGACAGAACUAGAAAAAAACGAGGCCCUGAGUUUAGCUUUUGAUUUCUUCGUCUUCUUCAGUUUUGUUGGUCUGAUUGUGAUCUCGGAUUCAAAUUCAAAAUAUAGAACAUAAACAUUUUCAGCUUCUUCUUUGAGUUCUAAUUUUAAAAGAUGAGAUUAUUUGAGGCCGGAAGCUGAGUGAAGGUUGAUUCCGGUUCGAGUUCCCGUCGCCGGUUCGAGGCUCGCAUCAGUAGCCCGUCUCGCAUGUUUGGAAUUCUUCUUUCAUUGUAUACGUUGACAAUUUGCAGCAGUAGAGGGACUGGGUAUGUUAUGGUAUGAGGCCCGACGCUUAGUAUUUUUGGGCACUGGUGCUAUUAGCUUUUGGUAAAGUUGGCGGAGAUAUUUCUUUGAAAGCAUUUAUUGUUGACAAACUUAGGAAUAACAUAGGGGUAUCUUAGCUCGAACACCUUUCAUAAGCAAAUCCAAAACUAGCUAGAUAGUUUCCUGGGCUGCACGUAUACGAUUACGGAAAUCUUUAAAUGGUCCACAUUGUGAAGAGGACCACAAAAAAAUAAGGAUAGAAAUACAACGAAUACUUAGCUGGAGAUGUAGCUGGAUUAUAAGUGUAUUUUUGGCUGCAUUCGUCUCAACUCAAGAGUGGAGUGCCUUACAAAGAUAUGUACAUUUGCAAUGGUGGGGUUGUUAUAUUCUUGUUGGGUUUCCCAUUUUAUGAACGCAAGGAACCAUCAGGGAACUCCUUUCGUUAUGUCUUUGAGAUUGUUAAAGUGGCAAUAUCAAAGAUGCAUCUGAAUUACCCAGUCUCUAAUCACCAGUUGUUCAAGAAUGACACUACCGACACUUAGAUUCUUCCUCGCAUUACAUUCUUCAGGUGCAUUAUAAUGUAAUAUGUACCUAAACUUAACUCCCCAUUGACUAGUUGGUACAGAUAUAAUAGUACAUCUUUAAUUUUUGUAUAACCAUAUGAUAUCCGACAUCUAUUGACUCAAAUGUAUUUGAAUCAUUCGUCUUAUAACAUAUAAUUUUUUCGUGUGCUGAUGGUUAGACAAGGCAGUCAUAUUGGAGGUGUCGCCCCCUUCACGUUCAGCAUCAACCGAGCAAGAAAACGUGGUGGGCAGACGACUUUUUGAGGUAGCAAAAGUGAGGGAAGUGAAACACUUGCUAAACAUGCUCCUAUUGUGGUCAACAUUUCUUGUUUACAGUCUUGUAGGUGCUACAGGGAGAACCUUCUUUUUUGAACAAGCUAAAUAUAUGGAUGACUGUCUCGGAAAUUGCUCACUAAUAAUUUUUGUCAUUGCCAUGACAUUCACACGUUCAACUGUAUUCAGGAUAUGUCCGCUGCACCACAAUUAAAGUCAUGUGUGGCGUCUUUUGAUCAACAGAGUUAGCCUUAAGAAUGUUCUGUUCCGUAAUAUGCUGUGUAACUGCUUGGAGGGUUGAAUAUCACAAGCUUCAUCAUGUGGGGAUACACCCCAUUUGUAUUUUCUGGCUAAUUCCUCAAUUCAUCUUGUUUGAGGUUAUGGAGGGAUUGAAUGCCAUUGAACUCCAAGAUUUCUUUGAAUCUCAAGUUUCUGAGUCAAUGAAUCAGUAUGGACCAUAAUUAAACAAAAUUCGUCUUAUGCAUUAGCCAAUUCUUGAAUGUCAUAUGCAUCUUCAUUUUCAGAUCAUUGUUUAAGAAAGACGUAGAUAAGAGCCGUUUAAACAAGUAUUAUGUAAUAUUAAUAGUUCCUACCUUUCUCAAUUUUUGCUUAUUCUGUUUGCUGAUCAGGAACUAGUAUGAUAAUUAUGAGCCUCAUUAUAUCGAAGUGUUGAGGACAUUGCUCAAAGAUUAUAGGAGGACAUAUUAAAGAAGUGAUGAGAAAUUAGGACAACACAAGCUAGACUUUUAUAUGAGCUAGCUAAGAAUGUAUAAAAGUUUAGCUUGUGUUGUUUUAAUUUGUCAUCACUUCUUUAAUAUGUCCUCCCAUAAUUCUUGAGCAAUGUCCUCCAACACUUCGGUAUCAUGAGGCUCAUGAUUAUCAUACUAGUUCUUGAUAAACAAACAGCUUAAGCAAAAAUUGAGGGAGGUAUGAACUAUUAAUAUUGCAUAAUACUUGUCUAAACAACCCUUAUUUACGUCUUCUUUAAACAAGGAUCUGAAACUGAAGAUGCAUAUGACAUUCAAGAAUAGUCCAAUGGCUUAGACGAGUUCGUUUAAUUGUGGUCCAUACUGAUUCAUUGACUUAGAAACCUGAGAUUCAAAGAAAUCUUGGAGUCUUGUGGCAGCCAAUCCGUCCAUACCUCAUUCAAGAUGAAUUGAGGAGUUAGCCAGAAAAUAGUAAUGGGGAUAUCCCACAUGAUGAAGCUUAUGAUCUUAAACUCUCCAAGCAGUUACACAACAUAUUACGGAACAGAACAUUCUUAAGGCUAACUCUGUUGAUCAAAAGACGCCACACAUGGCUUUUAUUGUGGUGGAGCGGACAUAUCCUGAAUACAGUUGAACGUGUGAAUGUCAUGGCAAUGACAAAAAUUAUUAGUGAGCAAUUUCCGAGACAGUCAUCCAUAUAUUUAGCUUGUUCAAAAAAGAAGGUUCUCCCUGUAGCACCUACAAGACUGUAAACAAGAAAUGUUGACCACAAUAGGAGCAUGUUUAACAAGUGUUUCACUUCUCUCACUUUUGCUACCUCAAAAAGUCGUCUGCCCACCACGUUUUCUUGCUCGGUUGAUGCUAAACGUGAAGGGGGCGACGCCUCCAAUAUGGCUUGCUUGUCUAACCAUCUACGCAAAAAAAAUAAUAUGUUAUAAGAUGGAUGAUUCACAUACGUUUGAGUCAGUGCAUGUCGGAUAUCAUAUGGUUAUACAAAAAUUAAGGACGUACUACUGUAUCUGUACCAACUAGUCAGUGGGGAGUUAAGUUUAGGUACGUAUUACAUUAUAAUGUAUCUGAGGAAUGUAAUGCGAGGAAGAAUCUAUGUAUUGGUAGUGUCAUUCUUGAACAACUGAUGAUUAGAGAUGCCUCUUUGAUAUUGCCGCUUUAACUAUCUUAAAGACAUAACGAAGGGAGCUCCUUGAUAGUUCCUUGCGUUCAUUAAAUGGGAAGCCCAUCCAGAAUAUAGCAAUCCUCCCACCAUUACAAAUGUACAUAUCUUCGUAAGCCACUCCCACUCUUAAUUUGAGAGGAAUGCAGCAAAAAAUAUACCUAUAAUCUAGCUGCAUCUCCAAUUAAGUCUUCGUCGUAUUUCUAUACUUAUUUUUUUGUGGUCCUUUUCACGAAGUGGUUCACUUAAAGAUUUCCAUAAUAGUAUACGUGCAACCCAGGAAACUAUCCGGCUAGCUUUUGAAUUUGCUUCUGAAAGCUGUUCGCUCUUAGAUUCCUUCAUGUUUUUCCGAAGUUGGUCAAGUGCAUUUGAUACUGGGACUUCCAUUGCUAAACUUUUUCUUAAAAUGGAGCAUGGAGAGCUAAAUAGUGCACACGUCUCUCUUAAAAUUUGAGAAACUUCAUACCUGAUUCAACGAGAAAUUUAGAUGAUACCAGAUUUUGGAAGUCACCUAUACUCAGAGGGAGUUUGGUUGAUAAUUCAGAAUCAUCUGUACGCAUAUCUGAUUUGGGGUGAGGUAGGGUGUCAUGGAGGAUGCCAUACGAUCUUUAGGUCCUACUUUUCUUAUGGGACCCUGUAUUCACCAGUUGGGCAGGGCCGCUGCAUAAUGCCUGAUUAAAUUUCUUCAAAAAGGCAAACUGCUUCAACAGCUUGUGCAGCAAGGCUCUUCUACUCAUGUAGCCAUUCUAUACCCAGGUUACACUGUAUUUAGCAUUUAUACACAUUAUAGCACAACGGCCUCCAUAUGAAAGACUAGAGAAACGAAUAGGAUAUCUUGGUCUAAUGUUGCUGCUUGAUGAAAGGCAAGAAGUUCUCAUGUUGGUUACAAAUUCUAUAAAACAAGAUCUUAAUCACACCAACCAAUAUAUUGUUGGACUUGCACUUUGUGCCUUGGGGAACAUUUGUUCUGCUUAAUCACACCUGAAGUUGAAAGGUCGCUGCAGUUUAGAGAUCCUAAUAUUCGAAAGAAGGCUCGAAAUGAGGAGUUUGCUUCUAUUUUCAAUCUUGAGGAUUAUAAAGUUUUAAUGGUCUGUAGGGACAAUGGCCCCCGUGAUGAGAUUUACAGCUUAAUCUGGAGUCAAGAUUUUUCGCAAUGCGAGUAGUGUCAAAUGACAGUCAGUCUGGUAAUGGAUAGUUCAGAAAUAGAACCCAUCUCUCAUAUUGCCAUUGUCGAGGAUCUGAGGACACUUCACCUUCAACUGAAAUUACAGCGAGCGAGGAUUGUUUGGAGAAUGCUGGUCACCUUCUAAGUGUUGAAGUUGACGGAAUUCAAUCUUUGUCACAUGCUUAGUUAUAUGUAGACCACUCAGGAAGAUAUAUUUCUCAAUGAUAAAGACUAUUUUUUCGACUGACUACGUGACUGUAAUUACAUAUAUAUUUAGAAUGGCGAAAUGGCCUCGUGACCACUUAAACUUGUACGAGAUUUCAAAGCCGAUAUAUAAACUUACAUAGUUCCCAUUUGAA